rnacentral:rRNA from 1 species
UACGUAGGGGGCAAGCGUUGUCCGGAAUUAUUGGGCGUAAAGAGCGUGUAGGCGGCCUUUUAAGUCCUGCGUGAAAUCCUGCGGCUCAACCGCAGACGGUCGUGGGAAACUGGAAGGCUAGAGUGCGGGAGAGGAGAGUGGAAUUCCCGGUGUAGCGGUGAAAUGCGCAGAUAUCGGGAAGAACACCUGAGGCGAAGGCGGCUGUCUGGCGGUGUAUCGACGCUGAGGCGCGAAAGCGUGG